CAACAUUUGGCAGGACUUCCCCAGUGCUCAGAUUCCUGGGCCCCAGAGGUGGUUUCAAUCUCACAAAGUUCUGUCAAGGGUGAAAAGCAUGAUGCGAGUAACUGCCAGGCCAUGCCCUCUUGGUAUGGUGAUGGAGACGAGUGACAGCUGGCCCAUCCUUGUCAUCGGAGUCUGCGGAGCAUUGGAAGGGACAGUCACAAUGGGGAGCGGCAGGUCACAAUGGGGGAGGCGCCGCCAGGACGCAGCCGGCCGGGCCUGCACUUUCCCAGGAAGGGCAACCCCGGUGCCUGUCCCCGAGAGCCCAGCAGCCCGGCCCUUGGUCGGAGGAGCAAAGCCGGGAGAGCCGCCGAGGGCGACGCGCUGGAAGCUGGCACUCACCGGUUGUCUCAAGUCGGAAUCUAUUCUUCAAGGUGAUGACAACCCUGCCCUGCCGUACUGGGUGAUCUAA
rnacentral:lncRNA from 1 species